CCUACGGGUGGCAGCAGUAGGGAAUCUUUCACAAUGGGCGAAAGCCUGAUGGAGCAACGCCGCGUGCAGGAUGAAGGCCUUCGGGUUGUAAACUGCUUUUAUAAGCGAGACAUAUGAUGGUAACUUAUGAAUAAGGAUCGGCUAACUACGUGCCAGCAGCCGCGGUCAUACGUAGGAUCCGAGCAUUAUCCGGAGUGACUGGGUGUAAAGAGUUUCGUAGGUGGCAUAAUAAGUAGCUAGUGAAAUCUGGUGGCUCAACCAUUCAGACUAUUAGCUAAACUGUUAAGCUCGAGACCGUUAGGAGUAACUGGAAGUUCUAGUGUAGGAGUGAAAUCCGUAGAUAUUAGAAAGAACACCGAUUGCGAAGGCAGCUUACUAAACUGUGACUGACAUUGAUGCUCGAAAGUGUGGGUAUCAAACAGGAUUAGAUACCCUUGUAGUC
rnacentral:rRNA from 1 species